GACGAACGCUGGCGGCGUGCUUAACACAUGCAAGUCGAACGGAAAGGCCCUGCUUGCAGGGUACUCGAGUGGCGAACGGGUGAGUAACACGUGGGUGAUCUGCCCUGCACUUCGGGAUAAGCCUGGUAAACUGGGUCUAAUACCGGAUAGGAGCCAUUUUUAGUGUGAUGGUUGGAAAGUUUUUUCGGUGUAGGAUGAGCUCGCGGCCUAUCAGCUUGUUGGUGGGGUAAUGGCCUACCAAGGCGGCGACGGGUAGCCGGCCUGAGAGGGUGGACGGCCACAUUGGGACUGAGAUACGGCCCAGACUCCGACGGGAGGCAGCAGUGGGGAAUAUUGCACAAUGGGCGCAAGCCUGAUGCAGCGACGCCGCGUGGGGGAUGACGGCCUUCGGGUUGUAAACUCCUUGCGCUAGGGACGAAGCUUUUUGUGACGGUACCUAGACAAGAAGCACCGGCUAACUACGUG
rnacentral:rRNA from 1 species